rnacentral:rRNA from 1 species
UUCGUUUAACAUUAUAAAAAUUUAUAAAAAUUUAAAUAAAUAUAAAUCUUUUUUAUUUAAUUUUAGAUGCGAAUUUUGUAAAAUAAAUAUUUAAAAUUUAGAUAAAGUUGAAUAAAUUUUAAAGGUAAAUUAGGGUGCCAGCAACUGCGGUUAUACCCAUUUUAAUAUUUUUAUUAGGUCAAAAUAAUUAAAAUAGUUAAUAAUUAUUUUAUUUUGUAUUUAUAAUUAAUUAAUAUUAUUUUAUAAAAAUUUUUUUAAAAAAAUUAUAUAAACUUAGUUUAUUAUCUAAUUAUAAAUUUUUAUAAAUUUUGUUUCCAUAAUAAAAUAAAAAGAUUUGGCAGUCUAUCUUACUUUCGGGGGAGUGUGUGAAGAGAAAAGAUAACCCACUUAUGAAUCAAUUAAAGUUUUUUGGUUAGUGUACGGUUGUUUAACAGAUUUCUUUGAAAGAAAAUCAUCUUAAAUACAAAUCAUUGUGCUACUUAUACUUUAGAUUCUUUAUUCACUACUAUUAAGGAAUAUAAUUUUAAAUAAUUAUUUUUUUUAGGACUAGAAAGUAAAUAAUUAUAAGUAAGAAUUAUUGAAGUAAAAUAAUGUUUGUGUACACACCGCCCGUCAAUCUUUUUCGAAAGAUAAGUCGUAACAUGGUAAGUAUAACUGAAGUUGUACUUA